rnacentral:rRNA from 1 species
ACGGGAGGCAGCAGUGGGGAAUAUUGGGCAAUGGGGGAAACCCUGACCCAGCAACGCCGCGUGAAGGAAGAAGGCCCUCGGGUUGUAAACUUCUUUUACCAGGGACGAACAAAUGACGGUACCUGGAGAAAAAGCAACGGCUAACUACGUGCCAGCAGCCGCGGUAAUACGUAGGUUGCAAGCGUUGUCCGGAUUUACUGGGUGUAAAGGGAGCGUAGACGGUCUGGCAAGUCUGAUGUGAAAGGCAGGGGCUCAACUCCUGGACUGCAUUGGAAACUGUCAGUCUUGAGUGUCGGAGAGGUAAGCGGAAUUCCUAGUGUAGCGGUGAAAUGCGUAGAUAUUAGGAGGAACACCAGUGGCGAAGGCGGCUUACUGGACGAUAACUGACGUUGAGGCUCGAAAGCGUGGGGAGCAAACAGGAUUAGAUACCCUGGUA